CCUACGGGAGGCAGCAGUGGGGAAUAUUGGGCAAUGGAGGAAACUCUGACCCAGCAACGCCGCGUGAAGGAUGAAGGUCUUCGGAGUGUAAAGCUCUUUUCUAAGGGAAGAAGAAAGUGACGGGAACUUAGGAAUAAGUCUCGGCUAACUACGUGCCAGAAGCCGCGGUAAUACGUAGGAGGCGAGCGUUAUCCGGAUUGAAUGGGCGUAAAGGGUGCGUAGGUGGGUUGGCAAGUUAGUAGCGUAACUCCACGGCUCAACCUUGGAACUGCUACUAAAACUGGUGGACUUGAGUGCAGGAGGGGCAACCGGAAUUCCUGGUGUAGCGGUGAAAUGCGUAGAUAUUAGGAGGAACACCGGUGGCGAAGGCGGCUUACUAGACUGUAACUGACACUGAGGCUCGAAAGCGUGGGGAGCAAACAGGAUUAGAUACCCUAGUAGUC
rnacentral:rRNA from 1 species